rnacentral:lncRNA from 1 species
GCAUGCAGGGGCCAUUGUGACAUAUAGCCAUGCCAAUUGCCUAGGUGAAGUUUGUCUCCUCUCUUGCCUAAGCCCUUUCUACAGCGGGGAUUUAGAUGUAUCACCGAAACAAGCCUCCAGGUGAUGUGACUCUUCUUCCAGAGUCCUGCCCACAAGGAGGAUUGUGACAUUUCACUGGACCAGCACCCACUCAGACUCUGCCAAAAGGGGAUUAUUACAUACUGCAGAGCCCAGCACCCAGGUUCUCUUUGAAUUCCAGCAUGAUGCAUCGAACCGUACCAUGACAUGGCUAGGACCCAACCUGGUACCAGAAAUGAAGAAAAUGACCCUACAGGACCCACAGCCCUGGACGCUGUGGCUUCCUUGGACAACACAGGCCCCAGACAUUAUGCUGAAGAAGCAGAAGGCUUAGCAAAUCCUGCUCCAAGCCGAAAUACCUGUCACUCCAAAUAAUUUGUUCCAUUUUUAUUCUCUCACUCUGCCUACAACUGGUACCUGCUACACUCUAUUGGGCUCAUCUCUUAAAUCCAUCUUUCUUCUGCCCUGUUACUUAGACAAACACCCACUUCCCAGCUUCUAACAACGUGACGGCUUGGCUAAAAGGGAUUAAUAUACCUUCAGUGGGGUUCCGUAGCAAUGGCACACAUCAGACUAAGGUACCAGGUCACUCCUUGAUUGGAAAAUAAUGUUGCUAAUAAUACUCAUGUUUGUCUUAUGUUAUUUACUAAUUCUAGGAUGAAAAGCCAGAAUACAAGCAGUGACCACCACACCUGACAGACCUCUUGCUGCACAUAUCUGUACUCUCCAAUUAACAAAACCUGAUGCUAAAAACAGAAAAGAGGGGAGAUGUAGGAGAUUGGUCAGGGUGGUGGGAAAAAUUGUAGAAAGAUGAAACCUUGGAAGGCUGGAAGGUUUUACAAAAGCUUCAGAAUAGGAUUUGGCUGAAGGCAGCCAGAUUCUCUUAUCCUGUGCCUUAAAGCUUAAGUUAGAUAACAAGGGGAUAUAAAGAAACUGAUCUAGGUAAGUUAGUUUACUUAGGCCUUGGAACCUGGCCUUUAAUCAUCUGCAGGACUGCUCUCCAGGGAGGGCGACUAUGUUAAUUAUCCACAAGUGUGUUAACUCAAAGCCUUUGUUAUUAAAUUUAUACUGAAUAAAUGCCUGCAGU